rnacentral:lncRNA from 1 species
AAGUAUGGUGGCAAUUCUUUGGGGACAGCGGUAAACUUAUUUUUGUUGCCUUUUUUGAUCAUUUCCAAUUGUUAUACUUCAUGUAUGGAUUAUUCCAUAGCUGCUAUUGAUUAUACCAUCUUUUGAUCAAUAUUUUUGCUGCUUUUUUGAUCAUUUCCAAAUUGUUAUACUUCAUGUAUGAAUAAUUCCAUAGCUGGUAUUGAUUAUACCAUAUAAUGAUCAGUUGGGGAGACAGUUGAAGUUGGGAAUUUUGAUCCAAAGGUUGCAACAUUUUGGAUCGACUCUGGUAUGCACUCUAUUCCUUCUUUUUGGGUGGUAUGGUUGUGUAGGUUUAUUUUUC